GACGAACGCUGGUUGCGUGCUUAACACAUGCAAGUCGAACGAUGAAGCCUAGCUUGCUAGGUGGAUUAGUGGCAAACGGGUGAGUAAUACGUGAGUAACCUACCUUUAACUCUGGGAUAAGCCUGGGAAACUGGGUCUAAUACCGGAUACGACCAAUCUCCGCAUGGGGUGUUGGUGGAAAGCGUUAUGUAGUGGUUAUAGAUGGGCUCACGGCCUAUCAGCUUGUUGGUGAGGUAACGGCUCACCAAGGCGACGACGGGUAGCCGGCCUGAGAGGGUGACCGGCCACACUGGGACUGAGACACGGCCCAGACUCCUACGGGAGGCAGCAGUGGGGAAUAUUGCACAAUGGGCGCAAGCCUGAUGCAGCGACGCCGCGUGAGGGAUGACGGCCUUCGGGUUGUAAACCUCUGUUAGCAGGGAAGAAGAGAGAUUGACGGUACCUGCAGAGAAAGCGCCGGCUAACUACGUGCCAGCAGCCGCGGUAAUACGUAGGGCGCGAGCGUUGUCCGGAAUUAUUGGGCGUAAAGAGCUUGUAGGCGGUUUGUCGCGUCUGCUGUGAAAGCCCGGAGCUUAACUCCGGUGUAUUGCAGUGGGUACGGGCAGACUAGAGUGCAGUAGGGGAGACUGGAAUUCCUGGUGUAGCGGUGGAAUGCGCAGAUAUCAGGAGGAACACCGAUGGCGAAGGCAGGUCUCUGGGCUGUAACUGACGCUGAGAAGCGAAAGCAUGGGGAGCGAACAGGAUUAGAUACCCUGGUAGUCCAUGCCGUAAACGUUGGGCACUAGGUGUGGGGAACAUUCCACGUUUUCCGCGCCGUAGCUAACGCAUUAAGUGCCCCGCCUGGGGAGUACGGCCGCAAGGCUAAAACUCAAAGAAAUUGACGGGGGCCCGCACAAGCGGCGGAGCAUGCGGAUUAAUUCGAUGCAACGCGAAGAACCUUACCAAGGCUUGACAUAUACUGGACCGCAUCAGAGAUGGUGUUUCCCUUCGGGGCUGGUAUACAGGUGGUGCAUGGUUGUCGUCAGCUCGUGUCGUGAGAUGUUGGGUUAAGUCCCGCAACGAGCGCAACCCUCGUUCUAUGUUGCCAGCACGUUAUGGUGGGGACUCAUAGGAGACUGCCGGGGUCAACUCGGAGGAAGGUGGGGAUGACGUCAAAUCAUCAUGCCCCUUAUGUCUUGGGCUUCACGCAUGCUACAAUGGCCGGUACAGAGGGUUGCGAUACUGUGAGGUGGAGCUAAUCCCUAAAAGCCGGUCUCAGUUCGGAUUGGGGUCUGCAACUCGACCCCAUGAAGUCGGAGUCGCUAGUAAUCGCAGAUCAGCAACGCUGCGGUGAAUACGUUCCCGGGCCU
rnacentral:rRNA from 1 species